GAACACUUGAGGGUGUUUGGAUGUGCUGCAUAUGCACACCAAUCUGAAGGGAAACUUGAGUCGAGGGCUGUCAAGUGUGUGAUGUUAGGGUAUCCCGAGGGUGUGAAGGGCUAUAGGUUAUGGGUUUUAGGGGUCCAAGGCAUUAAGAUUAUUAACAGCAGAAAUGUAGUCUUUAAUGAAUCUGAGAUGCCAUGUCUAAAACAGAAAAUCGAAGAAACUAACAAAUAUGAAACUGAG
rnacentral:lncRNA from 1 species